GACGAAGGGGGCUAGCGUUGUUCGGAAUUACUGGGCGUAAAGCGUGUGUAGGUGGUUGUCAUAGUCAGGCGUGAAAGCCUUGAGCUCAACUCAAGAAAUGCGCUUGAUACUGGGCAGCUAGAGGACCGGAGAGGAUAGUGGAAUUCCCAGUGUAGUGGUGAAAUACGUAGAGAUUGGGAAGAACACCAGUGGCGAAGGCGGCUAUCUGGACGGUUUCUGACACUAAGACACGAAAGCGUGGGGAGCAAACGGG
rnacentral:rRNA from 1 species